rnacentral:rRNA from 1 species
GAUGAACGCUGGCGGCGUGCCUAACACAUGCAAGUCGAGCGAUUCUCUUCGGAGAAGAGCGGCGGACGGGUGAGUAACGCGUGGGUAACCUGCCCUGUACACACGGAUAACAUACCGAAAGGUAUGCUAAUACGGGAUAACAUAAGAAAUUCGCAUGUUUUUCUUAUCAAAGCUCCGGCGGUACAGGAUGGACCCGCGUCUGAUUAGCUAGUUGGUGAGGUAGCGGCUCACCAAGGCGACGAUCAGUAGCCGACCUGAGAGGGUGAUCGGCCACAUUGGAACUGAGACACGGUCCAAACUCCUACGGGAGGCAGCAGUGGGGAAUAUUGCACAAUGGGCGAAAGCCUGAUGCAGCAACGCCGCGUGAGCGAUGAAGGCCUUCGGGUCGUAAAGCUCUGUCCUCAAGGAAGAUAAUGACGGUACUUGAGGAGGAAGCCCCGGCUAACUACGUGCCAGCCGCCGCAGUAU